rnacentral:rRNA from 1 species
AUUGAACGCUGGCGGCAGGCCUAACACAUGCAAGUCGAACGAGUGGCGGACGGGUGAGUCAUGUCUGGGAAACUGCCCGAUGGAGGGGGAUAACUACUGGAAACGGUAGCUAAUACCGCAUACCAUCGGAUGUGCCCAGAUGGGAGUAGCUAGUAGGUGGGGUAACGGCUCACCUAGGCGCCGAUCCCUAGCUGGUCUGAGAGGAUGACCAGCCACACUGUAACUGAGAGAUGGACCAGAGGCCUACGGGAGGCAGCGGUGGGGAAUAUUGCACAAUGGGCGCAAGCCUGAUGCAGCCAUGCCGCGUGGAUGAAGAAGGCCUUCGGGUUGUAAAGUACUUUCAGCGGGGGGGCGUUACUCGCAGAAGAAGCACCGGCUAACUCCGUGCCAGCAGCCGCGGUAAUUC